GCGAGUGAACAGGGAUUAGCCCAGCACCGAAGCCUGUGGUCAUUUGGCUACUAGGCAAUGUGGUGUUUAGGUCGUUCCGCGGAGGUGCUGCCUCACUCCAAGUCCAGCAAUGAGUACGGUAAUGCCGACAUUGCCCAGAGAGGGUGAAAGGCCCGUGGGAGUGAGGGCGCAGAAAUGCCAGUGCCUUCCUGGAUAGACCUUGGAGUCGGGUUGUUUGUGAAUGCAGCCCAAAGUGGGUGGUAAACUCCAUCCAAGGCUAAAUACUUGCACGAGUCCGAUAGCGAACAAGUACCGUGAGGGAAAGUUGAAAA
rnacentral:rRNA from 1 species